rnacentral:ncRNA from 1 species
UAACCUCUGACGAAGAUAUCGUGAACGUUG